rnacentral:sRNA from 1 species
GAUGUCCAGGAUGGCACAGUCGAUGAUGAGGAGGCCUGGCCCAUUGCUGUACCAGACCUCAGACCCGCUGUUGACCACUUCCAUUGCCCUCACUGGGUAGGGGUUCUGCCGUGAGUCUUCGUCUGGGAUGCAGAACUUGGACCUGUUGGCUGUGUGCGAGCACAGUCUGGAAGAAAGUUAACUCAUAGAGGAUCCUAAGGAGUUGGAGACAGAAGCUUGCUUUUGCCAUGCACGAACCAGCCACUAGCAAAGUGGGGCCACAAUACAGUGAGAACAUGCCACGGGCAGAGCCCUGCACCCCCUCUAGGACGUAUAUGGGGUCUCCUCUUCUGUCCAUCAUCUUUAAACAUAUUUAGUCAAUUUGUUGUUGCUACAAAGAAUUACAUUGGGAUAGGCAUUC